rnacentral:lncRNA from 1 species
UCAAUAUUUCAAAAACCCAAUGCCAAAGCACCUGGGCAGUAGCACAAAAAAAUAAAUAUAUAUAUAUAUAUAUAUCUAUAUCAGGGCCUUUCCAAUGAGGGAUCUCUAUUUUUUUUUAUCACUUUUAAGGAUUGACCCACACCAUUAGAUCUGUUUUUUACUGAGCUUUGAUGACUGAGAUUAAAACAAAAACCUUAACACUUAUGUCAAACCUACACCGUUCAAGAUCAUUAAAAAUAAAUCAAACAUUUGGAUGACUUAACAAUCACCAAAUUUUCUGAAAAUUUGCAUAAGUGAUCUACUCAUAUACACUUACAAACUGAACGGUAGAGAUGUGAUUUUGUGAUCGAGAAGUUUGUCAAAUACCCUAUCCCUAGAAAUAAACAAAAAAAGGGAUCCUCCAAGACCUCCCAAGGUCAUCGGACACUCAAACAGCCUAAUGUAACACGACUUCUACUCUCAGAACUUCCAAGCACAACAUCUCACACAAACCCAAAUGACUUGAACCUAAUAUGCAUUUCCAAAUCAUAACAUAAACUCAAGGAAUCCCAACACUUUCACAAACCUUACCCAUGCUAACAUGACACCAACGUAAUAGCAAUAACAAUCGCGUUACCACAGGCCGCCACAGGCGACUGCGAGUGGCCUCACCCGCCGCCUCCCAACACUUCAAAAAUAACAAUUCCCAUAACCCUCAACUAUGGAAAUUUACUAACUAAGCAAACUGAGCAUCCAACUUACUAGAGUCUGUCACCAAUUCAAACCGAAACUGCCCGAAACUCCACUUAAAGCUCAACCGCCGAAUCUGCAAAUUGGAAGCUCAAGGUCUCACAUCAAGACCCGAUGCUAGCCUAGCAAUACCAAGAAGAGCAAGGACCUUCAAAACUUACCUAGAACAAUCCGUUGUCAUCGUCGAACUAGUCGAACCCAACCAAGACUGCUCUGCUUGCCUCCCGCUGCUACGGUUCAAGACGAGGCCACCCACUAGACUAGGAAGCUUCUCAAGGAGGAGACAAGCUUUCCAACGCUAGUUGCGUCGUCGAGGGUCGGCCAGGUUAGGGUUCCAGUCAGAGGGCGACGACGGCAGUGGCUUUCGGGCCUCGCUGCGCCUUGUAUAUCGGUCGACGGUGCCGAAGGUUGGCAAGGUUAGGUAGGCGGGGACGAGAUGAAGAUACUGAUAUGUGGCUUGUGGCUGGGGGUUGCCGGACAGCGGACUUCCGAUCGGGAGAAGGCAAGGCUUGCGCGCGCGGCUCGAGGAGGGAGAGAAACUGAUUUCUGAAAUUCUAGGGUUCUAAAAAAUAACCCAACAUUUUUCUAUUUAACCCUUUCCAAAAAAAAUCAACUCUAAACUUUGACUGAACGUAACUUUAUCAUACGACAUCUGUUUUACCUGUACCGCGUGUCUACGAACUCGUAUCGUCGUGCUCUACAACUUCCGUGAAGGAAGUUUCUUGAGAAACCCAAUAAAUAAAAAGUCAACCAAAUAAAAAAAAUAAUAGAAACUAGUAUCUAAAUUCCGAGGUAUUACAUCUAUUCUUGUGAAAUGGUUAUUGUUUUAAUUUAGCAUUAGAGUUGUUACUCACACUUUCAGAAAGUCAUUAUGUGCUUGAGAGUUAAUAUUUUAUUAGUUCAAAUGUUACAUAAGCAAAUGCGUACCCUGUCAGUGAGCCGUGGCCUGGUUGGUUAAGGUGUUAAUUAACAACUUUGAGGUCAUGGGUUCAAACCUCAUUGACAUAUGUAGGGUGUGUGAGUUAUUUAACAAAAAGUUUUAUAAAAAAAAAAAAAUGCGUACCUACACACGGGCUACGGUGCGCUACAGCCCACCCCAGAUUUUAAAGAAACCUUACUUUGUGGCUUAAUUUUAGUUCAAAAUAUUAAUUAUUUAAAACUAGCAUACCCCAAAUUUAUAUACUUAGCCUUUAUGUUGUUAAACUUUAGUCCACAUGUUAACUUUUUUUUUUCGUUAGAUAUAUAUUUUCCUUUUGAGAAAUUUUAAAUACACGUACACCUCUAAUCUCUUAAUACACACUUCUAUUAUUUUAUGUUUCCAUUGAGAUUUUAUAGGUAAGCUAAAUGACCAAAACAACCAUCUAUUAUUAAAAAAAAAAAAAUCGCGCUAGAAGUAUUCUUUUCAACAUCUUCUACCCUAAAAUCGUCGAAAGUACGUCUUCUCCCCUAACCCUAAUUCUUCUCCACAAUUCAUUUGGAUUGUCUUUUUUUUUAUCUAUAUUAGCUUUAGUUUGAUCUUGCAGAUCAUAUUGUCAUGUACUGC